rnacentral:rRNA from 1 species
AUGCCGAGGGCUUCCAUCUUCGCAGAUGAUGCUAUCUUGUUUUUUAGGCCGGUGCAUGCCGACUUACAGACCAUAUCUAGUAUUCUGAAGCUCCUUGGUGAAGCCGCGGGUCUGAGGAUUAACUUGUAUAAGAGUACUGUCACAACCAUCCGUUGCGACGAAGGGGUUGCAGCAGCUGUGGAGGAGCAUUUCCAGUGCAGGAGGCAACAAUUCCCUAUCCAAUAUUUGGGCCUACCCCUCUCCAUCUUCCGAUUGCGACGCCAAGAUCUCCUCCCACUCAUCGAUAAAUUCUCAGGAAAAUUGAAAGGAUGGAAGCCAAAGAUGCUUGCUGUUGCGGGCCGUCUAACUCUCACUCGCUCGGUCCUGAUGGCCCUGCCCUUACACUGGAUGGCUGUACUCCCUUUGCCGGCUUGGGUCAUCAAGAUCAUUAAUAGGCGUUGCCGUGGAUUUAUUUGGAAGGGUGAACAGGAGAUCAAUGGUGGUCAUGGUCUACUGCCUUGGUCUAGAGUUUGCUUGCCUUUGGAG